CCUAUACCGCAGAGGAAGGUGGAAAAACCCCCAGGGACUCUGCCAAUCUGCCCUGGAGGAAAAUUUCUUCCCAAGCCAAAUAUGGCGAUCAGCUAAACACUGAGCAUGUGAGCAAGACUCACCUCAACCCAAUAAGAGCAGGACUAGGCAGCACAGGUCUGUAACAGGGAAAGGAGAGUGCUUUCCCCUGGGCUGCAGAGCCUGGGGCUUAGCCAAACUGAUUACAGAAUGAGUCCUACCUCAGAGGGACCAUGUAUUGGCCCCGAAAGAACCAGACUUCAGUGGCGAUAAAGCCUAGUUGGGCUACGAACUGGAAUGAGAACUAGGUAGGAAGUUGAAAGCAGUAAGGAAAGCCUAGAAGGGAACUUGAGAAGAGAGGUAGGAUGUGCCCAGGGAAACCUGCAGCAAAGAGAAAAGAGCAGCCCUAGCUGUUGAGUACAGAGUCCUGGGCUGCUACCAGUGUCACAGUGGGACCGGGUUCCUCUACUGGCCCCAAAGAAGGGGGCAUACAGGCACCCAGAGAGGGUUACCAAGCCCAGCAAGGGAGUUGCAGGCUGAGCCAGAGCCCCAGCGAGAGCAGAAAAACUUUUUUCUCUGGGAAGACCUCUUUGGACUUUCAGUGUGUGAGAAGCUGAGCCCCAGAAGCAUGGACUAAAGUUGGUGAGCCGGCCAGAGGGCCGAAUUACCAGGCAGAGAGACUGCCAUGGUGCUGGAGUGACCAUCGAUGGAGGAUCAGAGGGCACCUAACAAUGAGUAGAUUCAUUGAUUAUUGGCAUAGUCAGCAGGAUUGAAUUCCCCCUGUCAUCCGUGAGGGCUCAUGGAAGUCUUGGUUACUGAACGAAGGUCCAUCCCCCAAAGUGGGAUUUCCCAUUUGAGUUCCAGGGACAGGCUAAGCAGCCAAAGCAGGUCUCGGGGUUUCUCCAGCAGCUCCUAGAAACCCAACAGAAGCAGAAGGAAGUGCAGGCAGAGCUACAGAUGCAGCUGGUAAUCUUGAGGGACCAGCAGCAAUACCUGUGAGAGAUCCUGCAAAGGGAAAUCAACCUGCUAGGCCCAUGGACAAAAAGAGAAGACUCGGAGAACAUGCUGCGGCUGUGCUGAGAAGGUUAGCCCAGGAGAGCAGGGCAUGAGAAAGUGUACAAGCAUAGCCUAAUGCCAAGAUGGGAACAAAAGUUCUUUGGUUUUGGUGCAGAGAAGCAGGCCAUAUUGAAAGAUCCGGCCUGCAUACGAAAUUCCUGAGUGGCAAAAGGAGGGGCCAGGGCCCCAAGAAGGAAGAAAGAAAGGAGAAGGUGUCCUCUUGGACAAACACACAUGAGGCAGGCUAGAUGGAGAUGGCAGGGAUGGCCAUGGACCUUGCAGACCCUCCUCCAACACACCUGUCGGGUGCUGCAGGGAGGUGAAGGAUAAAUUGGUUGGCACAGAGAUGAAUCAGGCACGAGAGUUGAGCAGCGGUGUGCACUCAGACCCUGAUGGAAAAGAUUUUGGGGGAUGCAGCAGGGGCUACAGAAGAUGCUAGUGGCUUCAGAACAAGGCUCUGCAAGCAGUUGUUAAUGAGUGGCUGCAGGAAGAGGAUGGCCUCUGAGUUCUGGUGAGUACGAGGCUGUACGAGUGCAAAGCCGAUGACAGCGACGAGAUGGUGAGGGAUGAAGAUUGGACAAGAGUAGAACUUGCCCCCGGGUUGGGCCGGAUUUUAAGGGUAUUUCACAGGGUGGCUUGGCCUGUGGCUGCAAACCUGGAGCUAGGCCAAAUUGAUGACCAAGUGAACCCCAUCUGAGAGGAAACAAGGGAAAACAGCAGCAAAAGUACAGAAGCAGACUUAGCUGUUCAGUAUAUGGCCUUGGGCCAAAACCUGGAGUCCAGGGUAGGACUGGGUUCUCCCACCGUCCCUAAGGAAGGGGACAUAGAAGACCAUAGAAACCCAAGAAGGGCAGACCAAGCCGAAAUCAGGCUGAGGAAGAGCUCCCCACGAGGGUGGAAGGCCUUGUUUCUGUUCAAGACAUUUUUGGACUUUGUUUGGAAGGAGCAUGACCCAGGAAGGAGUGGACUAAAGGACAGUCACCUGGUUGGAGGGCUGAGUUCCCAGCCAACAAACUGCAAGAGUGACUAUCAACGGGGUUGCUAGCCCAGCUAGAAAGCUGUGACACGAGGCCUGGCCAGGAUCUAGCGGAGAUGUCUGGUGAACUGCCCGUGGACUCUGUGCCCAGCACCACUCCGAAAUUAUUCGCUAUCUUCAAAGAAACAGGCACAGCUCAGCCUGUUAGUCUCUGUCCCAGCCUCUUACACAGAUGUAUGCUGCAGCCUGCCCAGAUCAGAGAGCAGUGGGGACAGAUGAUCUCAUCCUGUCAAACCGAGCAACAUGGGUCCCAUUGAGGCUUAGAUGGAAGAUCCCAUGCAUCUCCUGGAGAGGAUGUGUCCGGGAUCCUGGAGACUGUUUCCUGCAGGAGGUUUGAGUGGGGAGAGAUCACUCAUUGUCAUGACCCAUUGGUCAUUAACCCGGGUCUGCAGGGCUCAUGGGAGCAGCCACACUCCAGCAGGCCACCUGGAAGCCUACUGAAAACUGCUUACCUAGGACUUAUGAAUUCCAGACCCAGUUUGAGGCUCCAUCCCUGAGGCCUAAUGGCAGAGUCCCUGAGCAGCUAAUCAGCCCCCGGGACCUCCUUAAACCAACAGCAGGAACAAGAAGCUGUCUGAACACCCGAGCCCCCCUGUCUUCUGGACCAUGUGUUAGCUGUUCCUGCUCCCACUCCCCAGGCUUGAUUUCCUGGCAUCCUGACUCGCUGUGACUCAUCUGAUUUGAGGUUCUGAACACAGUUUGGUCUUUUGCUUCUGCUCUUCCAGUAUCCUGACCCAGCUGACUCUUGACUCCUGUCUUCUGAGUGUGGACUCUGCCUCUGACCACUAGGUCUGGCUGCUGAUGACAUGGCCAUGACACUGACUUUUCUACGAUUCCUCCAAUGCCCUUUUCUGCUCUCCAGCUCUGCUGUCCCAGCAAGACACACCAAUCCUCUGGCUCCCAGAGUCCUGGUUGCUGCUAUUCAAGGGCUCAGGGGUAGUGCUUGUAUUGUCCCCUCCCCCACCACAGCUGCUUUUCCUAUGGGAAUCUCCCUAGCACAGAGGAGAAAUCUGCUCUUCUCUUAGAAUCAGUCCUGGCAGCAAUUCAGGAAGUCAUAGAAGGGAUGGUCUGCUAAGCUCCCUCUGCAAUGCCACUGUCAGAGACCAUUACUGGUGGGUGCCAAGUGACUGCACAGGCAGCUCCUUGAGAGACUCCUAGGGGCAGGGUAGUCGUGUUUCACGGUGACCUCUGAAAGGUCAAGCAAAGAGUGCAGCAUUGAAGAGACUAUCCUGCUGUAACAAAGGGUUUCUGUUCUCCUACAGUCAGACAGUGAGGCCAGUUUGCAGAAUGUGGAAGAGCUUUGGUGAUGAGUUGGAGGAUUCACCAUAUAGGUGGCAGCAGCUGCAGAUCCUGGAGUCCCUAUGGUAGGGUUACCAUGCAUCCAGAUUUUCCCGGACAUGUCUGGCUUUUUGGUUUUUAAAUAGCUGUCUGGGAGGAAUUUGUAAAAAUCUAAAAAGGUCCAGGAUUUGCCUCCCAAUGCAGAGCACAGUGCAGCUGACACGGCGGCUAUCACAUUAAACUUUAAUAUCGCUGGGUAUGACUGAAGGGCAGGUCUAUAAAGGUAAGAGGUCACUCACUCUAGGAGCUUCAAGUCUCAGAUUCUGUCACUAUUGCCUGCUUCGACCAGCUGAUCUCAACCCAACACAUCCCUCAGGUGGGAGCAGUGGGGAGCAGUUUUCCUCUCUUUCUGGAUUAGCCGCCAGAAUAGGGACAGGAUACAUGUGGCCAAGGAACUAGAGAGGCAUGGGGGUCACUUGCAGAGUUACCUGUUAAUGCAGCUCUUAUGGGGGAGCACGGUAGGUACUGUGCACUCAGGGGCACCAUUUCAAAUUUUGGUGGUGGCGGGGGAGGGUAAUUUAACCAUGAUUCCAGGGGCUCCUUAGGCAGCUGAAAACUCUAGUGUUUUGGCAGAUAACUUAGCAGUUAGCUGACAGGAGCCCUGUAUCUAAUUCCUUUAUAAAAAAAAGAAAAUUAAAUAAAUAUUAGACCCACUGAGCUCUAAUACGUGGUCUGACAUCUUGUGGAAAAUCACUUUAGGGACAGCCUGCCCGCUAACUCUGUAGAGAGAGAGACCCUGCCAGGACUCCUGGGUUCUACCCCAGCUCUAGGAGGGGAGUGGGGUCUAGUGGAUUACAGUGGGGGGCAGAUACAGCUCGGGUAUAUAUAAGAACAUCAGAAUGGCCAUAGUGGGUCAGCUCAAUGGUCCAUAUAGUCCAGUAUCCUAUCUUCAAACAGUACCAAUAAGUCUCUGAUUCCUGGCCUGGAAGUUGAGGCUGCAUUAGGAGAGGGAGCUUCCCCAUGGGGUUUAAAGCUGGUACCUGCCUCUUCUGAUCCCUCCUCACCAAAAGCUUCUGAUGCCUUCAUUGCUGUGUCUCUGCCGCUGGGGAUGGAGCAGCCCAAGCAGCAGGGCCGGUGCAAGGAUAUUUUGUGCCCUAGGCAAAACUUCCACCUUGCGCGCACACACACACUCACCCAUCCACCCG